GAAGAAUGGAAGGACAGGACACCAGCAGGAGGCGGUAUAAAAGGAUAAAAGAGCAUUGGCAGACGACCUCCUGGCCCUGGGGGUGGAGCGGUCAUGUCUCCGGACCUGCUUCUUGGGUCCCGGAGGGUCCGAAGAAAUGACUCACCUCUACCACCUCCACCCACCAGUGCAUCUCAGCCAGACACGCAAUUCGCUCCCCCACGCAAAGCAGUAACAGGGGGGCGAGCUUUCCAAAGGUGCUGCCCCAGCUCAGCCUCCCUCCUUGGCACAGAGCUGGCCUGCGAGACCCCCGGUAAAUGACUGUUAGUGGACGAAUUCAUGAACGAACGUAAAACCCCAUCUCUAAGGCAGUCCCGAUUCUCCCCCGCGGCCAGCAUCCAUCUGCGAGGAAUCGGGCGUGUAUGUCUGAGCAGGGACCCCGGCUGGGAGCUGGGAGGGACUUUCUGGCCAGUGUGCAAGACCAGGGAGCAUGCGUCUGGCAGGGCCUCUCAACCACGGCUGGUGGCGGGGGCAGGGACUGGCCAGAAUCAUGGUGUAAAAUUUAAAACACAACCUUGACCCCAAGGAGUAAAGGAGGGGCUGAGACAGCGGGACCCUCCCUUUGGGGCAGACGGCCCAGGGCCACUCCCAUAGAGGGAUCGAGCAGCGUCUAGAGAGUCCCAUGGGGUCGUCCCCACCCCACCCCAAUACAUCUGGGACCACCCAGGGAGCCAAGGAUGGCUUCUACAAUCCAGAAAUUCCUCAGUUCCCAGACCACUGGGGACCAUCGCCGUCUGCCUCUCCCUCCUCCCAGAGCGAGGACCUCUCUGCUGGCCUCACGGGGCCUUUCCUCGUUGGCAUCUGCUGGGGUGGCCCCUGGUUUUCCAGCCAUGGGGCUUCCAGGGUCUCAGAGGCUCCGCACAGAAACCCCACCCCAAUUUCCCAGACCGUGCAGUGGUCUUCUCGAGACCCUUGAGCGGGGAGGACACCAUGAGUUUUGGGCUUUGCAGAGCCAUGUUUGAAAAGCCACCACUUAGAGCUAAGCGACCUUGGAGAAGUCAGACUCCCAGGACUGAGGUGUCCUGUCUAUUCAGAGGAGGAGAUGACACCUGCUCCCCUCACCCCCACGCUGACACACCCACCGCAGGGAAGGGAGACAGGCUGGCAGCACCUGACACAGUGCUCCCCUGUCCCGGCCCCCAGAGCCCCCACCCCACCUGCUCUGUGGCCUGCUGAGCCCACCUUCUCAGCCCCCAACUAGGACCUGGGGCCUGACAAAGGAUUUCUGGGCUCCUGCUUAGAGGUACAAGUGAAGCCAGACUGAGAGCCCCUGACAAACACAUGAACCAAUGCCACCCUGACCCCAGGGGCUGGCCCCCCGGCCUCACCUGUCCCCAAGCCGUGAUCCUGACACGCGAUCCUGGACACAGCGACGCCAGGGCGCAGCACAGCGUCAGGGCAACAGCAGCCCCUGAAGAGAACCCAGCCCAGCGCCACCGACCCCAGGAGCAAAGUAAUGCCUGGAAGAAUGGCACUGAACACUCAACAGACCCUCCAGGCUCUCAGUUCCACGGAAUCAUGCCAGCUUCCUUGUGAUUUUAUCGGAAAGGUGGGCAGUUUGGCUCCACCGCGACCCACAGGGCAACAUCUUCUGGGUAUCGAUUCUGCUGCAGUGAAAAGGAAGCCCUUCCUUUGGAAAACAGUAAGAAAGAGGACAGGAGUCCAGGCGUUCCGGACUGUUAUUCCUAUUGGCUGCUGUCAACCAGGACAGUGGCCUCGGAGUGACCAGCCCAGAGGAAGAAGAGGCUGCGGCAGGCCCUGCCCUCCGGGGGUUGAUGUCAGGGCCCAAAGGAGAGUGGGCACCUACUAGUAGCCCCUGCGCUCUGCAGCAGCGUCUCACGGCUCAUCACCUGUUUUAUACAGAGGUGAGCACGCGCUCUUCCCACCCGCCCGGUUCUUCCCGCCCCACAACGGCGUCACCUACCUACGCUGACCCUAUAAGUGGUUUUGAAAUCAGUGAGUCUGUUUCUGGCUUUUUGGGUUUUUUUUUUUUUUUUUUUUUUUUUGGUCUUAUGUCUCUUUAGGGCCAUACCUGUGACAUAUGGAGGUUCCCAGGCUAGGGAUCGAAUCAGAGCUGAAGCCGUCGGCCUAUACCACAGCCACAGCAACCCAGGAGCCAAGCCAUGUCUGCGACCUACACCACAGCUCAUGGCAACAUGGGGUCCUUAACCCACUGAGCAAGGCCAGGGAUCGAACCCGCAACCUCAUGGCUCCUAGUCGGAUUCGUUUCCGCUGUACCACGACGGGAAUUCCGUUUUGUUUUUUAUUUAUUUAUUUAUUUAUUUAUUUUAUUUUUAGGGCCACAUCCGUUGCAUAUGGAAGUUCCCGGGUUAGGGGUCAAAUCACAGCUACAGCUGCCGGCCUACCCCACAGCCACAGCAGUGCCAAAUCCAGCUGCAUCUAUGACCUAUGGCGCAGUUCACAGCAACACCGGAUCCUUAACCCACUGAGCAAGGCCAGGGAUCGAACCUUCCUCCUCGUGGAUGCGAGUCAGGUUCUUAACCCAAUGAGCCACAAUGGGAAGUCCCUGUUUUUAAACACGUUCUCUCCAUUUUUAUUAGAUUUCACAUAUAAGUGCUAUCAUAUGACACCUGUCUCUCCCUGACUUACUCCACAUAAUAAUAAUAAUGUCUAACUCCGCCCAUGUUGCUGCAGAUGGCAUUAUUUCAUAUUUAUAUGUGCGACUGCUUCACUUCACUGUACACCUGACACUGAUACAACAUUGUAAAUCAACUACUCCAAUAAAGUGAAU
rnacentral:lncRNA from 1 species